rnacentral:rRNA from 1 species
CGGACGGGUGAGUAAUGUCUGGGAAACUGCCCGAUGGAGUGGGAUAACUACUGGAAACGGUAGCUAAUACCGCAUAACGUCGCAAGACCAAAGAGGGGGACCUUCGGGCCUCUUGCCAUCGGAUGUGCCCAGAUGGGAUUAGCUAGUAGGUGGGGUAACGGCUCACCUAGGCGACGAUCCCUAGCUGGUCUGAGAGGAUGACCAGCCACACUGGAACUGAGACACGGUCCAG